GAGAUUGUAGCUCAGCUGGAUUAGAGCAUCUGCCUUCUAAGCAGAGGGUCGCUGGUUCGAGCCCAGUCAGUCUCA
rnacentral:tRNA from 2 species